CAGUCGACGCUGAAGCCUGGUGCUUGCACCGGGUGGAUGAGUGGCGAACGGGUGAGUAACACGUGAGUAACCUGCCCCUGACUUCGGGAUAAGCCCGGGAAACUGGGUCUAAUACCGGAUACGACUGCCGGACGCAUGUCUGGUGGUGGAAAGUUUUUUCGGUUGGGGAUGGGCUCGCGGCCUAUCAGUUUGUUGGUGAGGUAAUGGCUCACCAAGACGACGACGGGUAGCCGGCCUGAGAGGGCGACCGGCCACACUGGGACUGAGACACGGCCCACACUCCUACGGGAGGCAGCAGUGGGGAAUAUUGCACAAUGGGGGAAACCCUGAUGCAGCGACGCAGCGUGCGGGAUGACGGCCUUCGGGUUGUAAACCGCUUUCAGCAGGGAAGAAGCGCAAGUGACGGUACCUGCAGAAGAAGUACCGGCUAACUACGUGCCAGCAGCCGCGGUAAUACGUAGGGUACGAGCGUUGUCCGGAAUUAUUGGGCGUAAAGAGCUCGUAAGUGGUUGGUCACGUCUGCUGUGGAAACGCAACGCUUAACGUUGCGCGUGCAGUGGGUACGGGCUGACUAGAGUGCAGUAGGGGAGUCUGGAAUUCCUGGUGUAGCGGUGAAAUGCGCAGAUAUCACGAGGAACACCGGUGGCGAAGGCGGGACUCUGGGCUGUAACUGACACUGAGGAGCGAAAGCAUGGGGAGCGAACAGGAUUAGAUACCCUGGUAGUCCAUGCCGUAAACGUUGGGCACUAGGUGUGGGGGGCAUUCCACGUUCUCCGCGCCGUAGCUAACGCAUUAAGUGCCCCGCCUGGGGAGUACGGUCGCAAGGCUA
rnacentral:rRNA from 1 species